rnacentral:rRNA from 1 species
GAGACAGCAGCCGCCACGGUAAUACGGAGGGUGCAAGCGUUAAUCGGAAUUACUGGGCGUAAAGCGCACGCAGGCGGUCUGACAAGUCAGAUGUGAAAUCCCCGGGCUUAACCUGGGAACUGCAUUUGAAACUGUCAGGCUGGAGUCUUGUAGAGGGGGGUGGAAUUCCAGGUGUAGCGGUGAAAUGCGUAGAGAUCUGGAGGAAUACCGGUGGCGAAGGCGGCCCCCUGGACAAAGACUGACGCUCAGGUGCGAAAGCGUGGGGAGCAAACAGGAUUAGAUACCCCGGUAGUCCCUGUCUCUUAUAC